rnacentral:rRNA from 1 species
UACAGAGGGUGCAAGCGUUAUCCGGAUUCACUGGGUUUAAAGGGUGCGUAGGUGGGUUGGUAAGUCAGUGGUGAAAUCCCCGAGCUUAACUUGGGAACUGCCAUUGAUACUAUCAGUCUUGAAUACCGUGGAGGUCAGUGGAAUAUGUCAUGUAGCGGUGAAAUGCUUAGAUAUGACAUAGAACACCAAUUGCGAAGGCAGCUGGCUACACGAAUAUUGACACUGAGGCACGAAAGCGUGGGGAUCAAACAGG